rnacentral:rRNA from 1 species
GCGUGAGUGAAGAAGGCCUUAGGGUUGUAAAGCUCUUUCGGCGGGGACGAUGAUGACGGUACCCGCAGAAGAAGCCCCGGCUAACUUCGUGCCAGCAGCCGCGGUAAUACGAAGGGGGCUAGCGUUGUUCGGAAUCACUGGGCGUAAAGGGCGCGUAGGCGGCUUGACAAGUCAGGUGUGAAAGCCCCGGGCUCAACCCGGGAAUUGCACUUGAUACUGUCUCGCUAGAGUCCGGGAGAGGAUGGCGGAAUUCCCAGUGUAGAGGUGAAAUUCGU